rnacentral:rRNA from 1 species
GACGAACGCUGGCGGCGUGCCUAAUACAUGCAAGUAGAACGCUGAAGGAGGAGCUUGCUUCUCUGGAUGAGUUGCGAACGGGUGAGUAACGCGUAGGUAACCUGCCUGGUAGCGGGGGAUAACUAUUGGAAACGAUAGCUAAUACCGCAUAAGAGUAGAUGUUGCAUGACAUUUGCUUAAAAGGUGCAAUUGCAUCACUACCAGAUGGACCUGCGUUGUAUUAGCUAGUUGGUGAGGUAACGGCUCACCAAGGCAACGAUACAUAGCCGACCUGAGAGGGGGAUCGGCCACACUGGGACUGGGACACGGCCCAGACUCCUACGGGAGGCAGCAGUAGGGAAUCUUCGGCAAUGGACGGAAGUCUGACCGAGCAACGCCGCGUGAGUGAAGAAGGUUUUCGGAUCGUAAAGCUCUGUUGUAAGAGAAGAACGAGUGUGAGAGUGGAAAGUUCACACUGUGACGGUAUCUUACCAGAAAGGGACGGCUAACUACGUG